rnacentral:snoRNA from 1 species
AGGUCAUUUCAAAGAAGGCUGCAGGGCUGUGAAGCCAAGCUCUCCUAACAAUAUGACCAAAGAUUGACAUUCUCCACAAGGUUCCAUAUAGAGUCACUUAAUAAUGCUGUUUUUUUUCCUGAGAAUAUAUAAGG